rnacentral:lncRNA from 1 species
GGAGCCCGACGUGGGAAUCGAUCCCGGGUCUCCAGGAUCGCGCCCUGGGCCAAAGGCAGGCGCCAAACCGCUGCACCACCCAGGGAUCCCUAUUUUAAAUUUUUUGAGGAAACUCCAUACUGUUUUCCAUAGUGGCCAUACCAAUUUACAUUCUCACCAAUAGUGCGUGAAGGAAAAAAAUAGUGCAUGAGGGUUCCUCUUUCUCCACAUCUUUGCUAACUGUUGUUAUUUCUUACCUUUUUGGAACUAUUCUUUACAGGGCAUACCCAUGCACAGAUCCCAUUUUGUGUCCUCACCAUCCUAAAAAUGGCAGCUGUAUGGGACUCAUGAGACUCUCUCCUUACACUACCUUUCAUUAGCAUUAGUAACAGCUGCUUGUGGAGUUGUUAGUAAAGUGGCGUCAUGGGGUCACAAAGGAGUAAGCCCAGCCUUGUUUUGGGGUGGCAUCCUCUCCAAUAAAGAAGAAUGUGUGUUCACAUCUCUGUCGGGGACCGUAGCUCAUGCAGAGCAGUGUAAAAAUAGCAGCCAGAGGUCUGUCUAAUAAUGCCUCCGAAAGCCUACCUUGAAAAAAUGUCGCCCAAAACAAGAGAGAGAGCAGAAGGGCUAGUUUGGAGCUAGUAAACACUCACCACAGUGAACGUUUAUCCCACGUGUUUGAGUGCCACACAUAGGCAAUGCAAUUUUGCUGGUCAGUCACACUAGUUUUAUGCAAGCAGAACUGACCACAGCUGCCAGACUGGGCUCUCUUUUCCACAUUUGGUUGGUCGAUUGGUUGAUUGGUUGGUGGUUGGAUGAGAGGCCCAUGUGGUUACCCACCAACCCCUUCCUGCAUUACUGAUUGUGUCUUAGGGAGAGACUCUGGUAGGUAGACAGAAGCUCUUAUCAAUGUUGUGCUGCCUGAGGGCCCACACACCUAUAUUCCCUGUUCAGCGGGUUGUUCACCUUUUUCAAUGUCCUCAAGGGGUGUGAGCCCAGCAGUAAGCUUCGAAUGGGGGAAAUAUAUCUGAUGGGUCAGAAUUGCAUGUGAAGGACUUUAAAUAGCUUUUCUUUCCCCUCCUAGUCUAAACACAGGAACGGGAAAUUGUGGACACCAGAGAGUUGCAUAUUUAAAUACAGCUGGACUAUUUUUGCACAAUGGUGAAGAAAUGGUUUUUCGUGCAAAUGUUUUAUAUCUUUGCCAUUUUGACCAUUCUUAUUUUAUCUCUUCCAUCUGUGAGCUCUAAUAGCUCCUAUUAUGUAUAUAAUUCAUAUAGAGCUCCCUAGACUUCACUUUGGAGUGUGAUUAUUGCUGUACAUUUCUCCCUUAUACACUAUAUGCUCCCUGAAGGCAAGCUUUGGACCUAAAGCACAUCUUAAUUUUUCCACACUGCCUAACCUGAGCUGACCACGAUUUACCACUGAAGAAUUCCAUGAAAUGAAUGAACGAAAACAUUUCUACAUCAACUUUGGUCUGUUGUGAAAAUGGUAUAGUGAGAUGUCAAGAUGGGAUAUGUAUUGCAUCUUGAAAUAUCAGAAGCUAGAUGCUUAGUGGGAAUUCAGUUGACAUAGAGUAUUACGAUUUAGCGUUAUAUUUCUUUGGAAGUUAUGAAUAAUUCAGAGCACAUAGGGGAUACCUUUUAUCUUUUCUGGCUUGGUGAUUUUUGUGUAGUUAUUGUGCUUAAUAAAAUAUGAAAAAGAGGACAGAGGGCUCAUCUGAAUGUCAGCUCAACAUUCUGUGGUUAUUGUUUUAGUAACUAGUAAGUUACCUUAAAUCCUAGGCCCAUUAGGCCAUUGUGGUAAAAUAUUAGGAGUAUAUCUAAACUGCUUAUAAAAUUCUUUGAUGUUUUCUAAAAUAUUGUGGUAUAAUAAUAAGAUAACAGAAUAAGAUUUUCUGUUUCCUAAGAAGAUAUAAAUAAAACCUCUACAGCACAUAAUGAUGAUGAGUUGGAAGUUAAGCUCCCCUCUGAUCAACCAAUGAUUCCCUGGAACAAAUAACUCCAGGAGAACCCAGCUUUAGAACACACGUGGGAAAUGUCUGGCUUUAAAAUUAUGGAGCCAUUUGUGAGGCAUAAGGCAAAUGACAUUGAAAUAUGGUUGCUGGGGCACCUGGGUGGCUCAGUGGUUGAGCAUCUGCCUUUGGCUUAGGUCAUGAUCCCUGGGUCCUGGGAUCGAGCCCCAUGUCGGGCUCGCUGUUCAGUGGAGAGCCUGCUUCUCCCUCUUCCUCUGCCUGCCACUCCUCUUGCUUGUGCUCUCUCUCUCUCUCUCUGUGUCAAAUAAAUACAUACAUACAUACAUAUAUAAACAAACAAAUAAAUAAAAUCUUAAAAAAA